GACUUUGGCAAAUUAAAGUUUGUCAGAAUCUCAGCAAACUUUCCACUGAUCUGGGUUCACUUAUGCUUUUGUUACAGUUCUGGGCUUCUUUCUGAUGUUUCCCUUUGGACGUGUACUUUAAAACUAUUUCAUGAACUUGAGAUGCUUGAUUGUCCGCACAGUCUCAAGAGUAAGCAAGAUAUUUCUUUCUAUGGUCGUCUUCUUCCUCCUCCUCCUGCCUCGUUUUCAACUCAGCAUCUGGCAAAGAUGGACAAACUCUGGGACGUAAAAAUUCCCUUAACUAUUUACUAUGGUAAAAAGCAUUCUUUUUUUACCCUUGAGAGGAGCACAAAGAGACUCCCUAAAGGAAGGAAGAACUUCCUAAUGUGAAAAUAAACUACUAGAAAAUACAGCCCUGGCCCAUUUAUAAAAAGAGAACAGAUGCAGCAUGGAAGAAACAGUAAGAGAAUGCUUUUUCUUUGCUCUUUCUUCUGAAGUUCUUUCUUCUGGUUCAUUUUCAACCACUGAAUAUCCCUAAAAAGAGAAACUGGACACAGAUAAAUAAUUUCACCUCAAAAUUCAUCCAUGUGAAAAAUAAACAAAUCACUUGCCAGGAGAUGUUAGAAAAUUACCCUAACCUUUAGUACCAGGUGAGGCCAUUCAUAGAGAGGAAGAGAGGAAGAGAGGAAGAGAGGAAGAGAGGAAGAGAGGAAGAGAGGAAGAGAGGAAGAGAGGAAGAGAGGAAGAGAGGAAGAGAGGAAGAGAGGAAGAGAGGAAGAGAGGAAGAGAGGAAGAGAGGAAGAGAGGAAGAGAGGAAGAGAGGAAGAGAGGAAGAGAGGAAGAGAGGAAGAGAGGAAGAGAGGAAGAGAGGAAGAGAGGAAGAGAGGAAGAGAGGAAGAGAGGAAGAGAGGAAGAGAGGAAGAGAGGAAGAGAGGAAGAGAGGAAGAGAGGAAGAGAGGAAGAGAGGAAGAGAGGAAGAGAGGAAGAGAGGAAGAGAGGAAGAGAGGAAGAGAGGAAGAGAGGAAGAGAGGAAGAGAGGAAGAGAGGAAGAGAGGAAGAGAGGAAGAGAGGAAGAGAGGAAGAGAGGAAGAGAGGAAGAGAGGAAGAGAGGAAGAGAGGAAGAGAGGAAGAGAGGAAGAGAGGAAGAGAGGAAGAGAGGAAGAGAGGAAGAGAGGAAGAGAGGAAGAGAGGAAGAGAGGAAGAGAGGAAGAGAGGAAGAGAGGAAGAGAGGAAGAGAGGAAGAGAGGAAGAGAGGAAGAGAGGAAGAGAGGAAGAGAGGAAGAGAGGAAGAGAGGAAGAGAGGAAGAGAGGAAGAGAGGAAGAGAGGAAGAGAGGAAGAGAGGAAGAGAGGAAGAGAGGAAGAGAGGAAGAGAGGAAGAGAGGAAGAGAGGAAGAGAGGAAGAGAGGAAGAGAGGAAGAGAGGAAGAGAGGAAGAGAGGAAGAGAGGAAGAGAGGAAGAGAGGAAGAGAGGAAGAGAGGAAGAGAGGAAGAGAGGAAGAGAAUCUUAAAAUAGUACCCUGAAAAAGAUCAGAAAAGAGCCAGGAUGCUAUUUGUGUGUCUCUCAAGGAAAAUAAAUGAAUUCACUUAACCCUCCUUUGAGUAAUUGAUUUGAACAUGUGCAGUAACAUUGAUUAAUCUAAGUGCAAUCUACCUCCAGGUAAAAGUUUUUUUCAACGUGUGUAUCUCAAGACUGAAAAUUAUGCUGCAAACAGCGCAAGGGAAGUUCUACAGAGCUACAAGAUGCUUUGCUGAGUUUUCAAAACUUCAUUAUCCCCUCAGAUGAGCAACAGUAAAAAGUGAAAGUGGAAAAAAAAAAAGAAAACUUUCCCAUGAAUAGCAGUGUUUCAGGCACUUACACCGAGUAACAUGAAUUUAGGAUACUUUCAGUUUUCAAUUACUUCCUUCUCAAAUCACACAC